rnacentral:lncRNA from 1 species
AUGACCUCCCACGCGCAGGACCUCACCAAUACUUCCUUCGGCUACGAUGAGGCCAACUGCAGCGUCCUGGGGAUCGGGCAGUACUCCACGCUCAGCAUCCCUACGAGGGAGGCCUUUGGGGACAGGUUUGCCGACGAGCUGAGCGUGCUGCUGAGGCUCAGGUACUCGCUGAAGGAGGACACCAGCCUGGUGACCAUCCUGAGCCACCGGAGCCGCGUGCUCUUCCAGAUCCGGGUGAGCCCCUACGGCCUGGUCUUUGUCACCACGAGGAGGAGACACUAUGAGUUCCCAGUUUCCCAGCUCAGCGACGGGCGCUGGCACCGAGUGGCUCUCGGCAUCUCCUCGGAGGGGCUGGAGCUGCACGUGGACUGCCGGCUGGUGGGGAGAGCGAGCUGGUCCGGCCACAUCGGGAUGGGAGUGAGCACGGAGGGGCUGGUCGUCCUCGGGGGCCUGGUCGAGGCCUUCGAGAUCCCCUUCGAGGGUGCCCUCCAGCAGCUGAUCUUCGUGAUGGGAGACCCAGCAGCCGCCAACGAGCACUGCCACAGCUACGGCAAAGCGUGCGCCCCCCGCCUCAGCCGCCUGCUGUCCCCGGGGGACCUCUCACCACCCGCAUGGCCAGAGGUGUGGCUGAGGGCAGCUGCCAAAUCCUGGGGGUGCUGGACCGGGCUCCUGUGUGGAGUAACCUGUUCCGAGUGCAAGGACCAAGCCAGGGGGUUAGGGGAGCCUGGAAGGACUCAGGUUUCUGCUCUGAGCUGAGAUUUGGGGAGGUGGUGGUGGUGGUGGGUAUGCCAUCAUCCAGACCCUCCCAUGAAGUCACAGAUGGGCUUGGUGCAAAGGGGAGAAUGAGUUAGAGGAAACAUUUUGGAGCCAAAGCUGGGUGUGUGCCUGACUGCCCAAGUGUUGAGCACAGGGAAGUUGUGCUCAGCCCUGGAGUAACGCUGCAGCUCCCUGCUGGGAGUGGGGCAGAGCUGGGACCAGGAGCUGUGCAUCGGUUCGAAGGUCUUGCUCAUGUCCAGCAAGAUUGCUGCAUUGCAUCAGCCUUUGGAAGGCUUUUCCCUCUAUAUCGUCAAUGGGAAUUUUGUGGGGUUUAUUUUAUUACUGUUCAUCAUUUUGUUUUAAGUAAUACAUCCGUCUCCCCAAGCCUGGAUCCCACAGUAAAUUCCCAAGGACACAAAGCACCCAGGCUUUCCUCGUGAGCCAGGAGGUUGCCCAAGGAGCAACUUUAUCUCUUGGCCAGGUGUUGAAGUCCACUAAGAUAGAUUUCUGGUGGCAUGAGGGCACUUACCCUUAGCACCCAGUGGCUGAAGACUUAGGCCAGCAGGGCUUUGCAGCUGCCUGGACAAGGCUUGCUGAAGGCAAGGGCUUAAUGGCAGGGUUUGCAUCAGCCUCCUGUGGGUAACACCCU